AGAGUUUGAUCAUGGCUCAGAUUGAACGCUGGCGGCAGGCCUAACACAUGCAAGUCGAACGGUAACAGGAAGCAGCUUGCUGCUUCGCUGACGAGUGGCGGACGGGUGAGUAAUGUCUGGGAAGCUGCCUGAUGGAGGGGGAUAACUACUGGAAACGGUAGCUAAUACCGCAUAAUGUCGCAAGACCAAAGAGGGGGACCUUCGGGCCUCUUGCCAUCGGAUGUGCCCAGAUGGGAUUAGCUUGUUGGUGGGGUAACGGCUCACCAAGGCGACGAUCCCUAGCUGGUCUGAGAGGAUGACCAGCCACACUGGAACUGAGACACGGUCCAGACUCCUACGGGAGGCAGCAGUGGGGAAUAUUGCACAAUGGGCGCAAGCCUGAUGCAGCCAUGCCGCGUGUAUGAAGAAGGCCUUCGGGUUGUAAAGUACUUUCAGCGGGGAGGAAGGGAGUAAAGUUAAUACCUUUGCUCAUUGACGUUACCCGCAGAAGAAGCACCGGCUAACUCCGUGCCAGCAGCCGCGGUAAUACGGAGGGUGCAAGCGUUAAUCGGAAUUACUGGGCGUAAAGCGCACGCAGGCGGUUUGUUAAGUCAGAUGUGAAAUCCCCGGGCUCAACCUGGGAACUGCAUCUGAUACUGGCAAGCUUGAGUCUCGUAGAGGGGGGUAGAAUUCCAGGUGUAGCGGUGAAAUGCGUAGAGAUCUGGAGGAAUACCGGUGGCGAAGGCGGCCCCCUGGACGAAGACUGACGCUCAGGUGCGAAAGCGUGGGGAGCAAACAGGAUUAGAUACCCUGGUAGUCCACGCCGUAAACGAUGUCGACUUGGAGGUUGUGCCCUUGAGGCGUGGCUUCCGGAGCUAACGCGUUAAGUCGACCGCCUGGGGAGUACGGCCGCAAGGUUAAAACUCAAAUGAAUUGACGGGGGCCCGCACAAGCGGUGGAGCAUGUGGUUUAAUUCGAUGCAACGCGAAGAACCUUACCUGGUCUUGACAUCCACGGAAGUUUUCAGAGAUGAGAAUGUGCCUUCGGGAACCGUGAGACAGGUGCUGCAUGGCUGUCGUCAGCUCGUGUUGUGAAAUGUUGGGUUAAGUCCCGCAACGAGCGCAACCCUUAUCCUUUGUUGCCAGCGGUCCGGCCGGGAACUCAAAGGAGACUGCCAGUGAUAAACUGGAGGAAGGUGGGGAUGACGUCAAGUCAUCAUGGCCCUUACGACCAGGGCUACACACGUGCUACAAUGGCGCAUACAAAGAGAAGCGACCUCGCGAGAGCAAGCGGACCUCAUAAAGUGCGUCGUAGUCCGGAUUGGAGUCUGCAACUCGACUCCAUGAAGUCGGAAUCGCUAGUAAUCGUGGAUCAGAAUGCCACGGUGAAUACGUUCCCGGGCCUUGUACACACCGCCCGUCACACCAUGGGAGUGGGUUGCAAAAGAAGUAGGUAGCUUAACCUUCGGGAGGGCGCUUACCGCUUUGUGAUUCAUGACUGGGGUGAAGUCGUAACAAGGUA
rnacentral:rRNA from 1 species